rnacentral:lncRNA from 1 species
GGGAAAAUUAGGCCAAAUACCCCCUAAAAAUGAGAAUUUUGAAUAGUACUCUUCAAAUUAAUUGAAACAUUUAAUCACGUAUUAAAUACGCUCAAAACCUCACAGCUCCAAAUCAAAACCCUCGACUCCAAAAAACUCCCAUAGUCAGUGGAAGUGUUGGGCUGAAACCAAUGGCGGUGGAGGUACAGCCGAUGGUAGUGCCGGUGGUAGAUAUGGCAAUGCUGGUGGUUGGGAUGGACUUGCUACUGGAUUUGGCGGAGGUCGCGGUGGUGGGACUUGAGAUGGCCGAUUGGUUGAGUUGGAAUCUAUUUAAGACGUGGAAGUUCAUGAGUGUGUUGACAUAGAACGGGAUAGCGAGUCCGGCUGUAGGUCUUGGUUAUGGCUUGGCUCCGGUGCAUUGACCCGAAAUUUGCUCUGGUUGGAGCCCCAUUAUGAGUGCAGCAGAAACUGUAAAGAAGACUAUGAGAGUGGCUGCAAUGAUUAACUGGAAUUUGAGCUUGGAAAUUUUGGGAUUUGAAGUGGGUUCAUUUUCCAAUUAGGUUCUUCUUGAUGAAGCUUCAAGCUCAAUUGAUUCGAGCCUACCAUAAUUUGAGCUUGGAUUUUUUGGGAUUUGAAAUGGGUUCAUUUUCCAGUCGGGUUCUUCUUGAUGAAGCUUCAGGCUCUAUUGAUUCGAGCCAGCCAUUGCCCAUUCUAUU